GACGAACGCUGGCGGCGUGCUUAACACAUGCAAGUCGAACGAUGAAGCGGUGCUUGCACCGUGGAUUAGUGGCGAACGGGUGAGUAAUACGUGAGUGACCUACCUUUGACUCUGGGAUAAGCCUGGGAAACUGGGUCUAAUACCGGAUACGACCAAUCUCUGCAUGGGGUGUUGGUGGAAAGCGUUAUGGAGUGGUUUUAGAUGGGCUCACGGCCUAUCAGCUUGUUGGUGAGGUAAUGGCUUACCAAGGCGACGACGGGUAGCCGGCCUGAGAGGGUGACCGGCCACACUGGGACUGAGACACGGCCCAGACUCCUACGGGAGGCAGCAGUGGGGAAUAUUGCACAAUGGGCGCAAGCCUGAUGCAGCGACGCCGCGUGAGGGAUGACGGCCUUCGGGUUGUAAACCUCUGUUAGCAUCGAAGAAGCGAAAGUGACGGUAGGUGCAGAGAAAGCGCCGGCUAACUACGUGCCAGCAGCCGCGGUAAUACGUAGGGCGCGAGCGUUGUCCGGAAUUAUUGGGCGUAAAGAGCUUGUAGGGCGGUUGGUCGCGUCUGCUGUGAAAGGCCGGGGCUUAACUCCGGUUUUGCAGUGGGUACGGGCUAACUAGAGUGCAGUAGGGGAGACUGGAAUUCCUGGUGUAGCGGUGGAAUGCACAGAUAUCAGGAGGAACACCGAUGGCGAAGGCAGGUCUCUGGGCUGUAACUGACGCUGAGAAGCGAAAGCAUGGGGAGCGAACAGGAUUAGAUACCCUGGUAGUCCAUGCCGUAAACGUUGGGCACUAGGUGUGGGGGACAUUCCACGUUUUCCGCGCCGUAGCUAACGCAUUAAGUGCCCCGCCUGGGGAGUACGGCCGCAAGGCUAAAACUCAAAGGAAUUGACGGGGGCCCGCACAAGCGGCGGAGCAUGCGGAUUAAUUCGAUGCAACGCGAAGAACCUUACCAAGGCUUGACAUGCAUUAGAUCGCGUCAGAGAUGGCGUUUCCCUUCGGGGCUGGUGUACAGGUGGUGCAUGGUUGUCGUCAGCUCGUGUCGUGAGAUGUUGGGUUAAGUCCCGCAACGAGCGCAACCCUCGUUCUAUGUUGCCAGCGGUUCGGCCGGGGACUCAUAGGAGACUGCCGGGGUCAACUCGGAGGAAGGUGGGGAUGACGUCAAAUCAUCAUGCCCCUUAUGUCUUGGGCUUCACGCAUGCUACAAUGGCCGGUACAGAGGGUUGCGAUACUGUGAGGUGGAGCUAAUCCCUUAAAGCCGGUCUCAGUUCGGAUUGGGGUCUGCAACUCGACCCCAUGAAGUCGGAGUCGCUAGUAAUCGCAGAUCAGCAACGCUGCGGUGAAUACGUUCCCGGGCCU
rnacentral:rRNA from 1 species